CCGUGCUAGGCGGGGAGGUAGCGGUGCCCUGUCACCCGCAAUCCGCUCUAGCGGGGCUGAGCUGAACGCCCGUCCGAGGGUCGCGGCCUUCGGGGUCAGUACGUUGCGGACGGCGCUGACGGCCAGGUCCCGCGCAAUGCGCGCCCGCGAACCAGGUCAGAUCCGGAAGGAAGCAGCCUUAAGCGGUAGCGAGCAUGUGCCGCGGACCAGCCUGGCCCGAGCCAACUGCGGCGCAAGCGCCCGGGGACCGCUCUCGAGGGCGGGCCGCACGG
rnacentral:SRP_RNA from 1 species